rnacentral:rRNA from 1 species
UGGGGAAUUUUGGACAAUGGGCGAAAGCCUGAUCCAGCAAUGCCGCGUGUGUGAAGAAGGCCUUCGGGUUGUAAAGCACUUUUGUCCGGAAAGAAAUCCUCUGGGUUAAUACCUCGGGGGGAUGACGGUACCGGAAGAAUAAGCACCGGCUAACUACGUGCCAGCAGCCGCGGUAAUACGUAGGGUGCAAGCGUUAAUCGGAAUUACUGGGCGUAAAGCGUGCGCAGGCGGUCUUGCAAGACAGUGGUGAAAUCCCCGGGCUCAACCUGGGAACUGCCAUUGUGACUGCAAGGAUGGAGUACGGCAUAGGGGGAUGGAAGUCCGCGUGUAGCAGUGAAAUGCGUAGAUAUGCGGAGGAACACCGAUGGCGAAGGCAGUCCCCUGGGCCUGUACUGACGCUCAUGCACGAAAGCGUGGGGAGCAAACA